AACAGUAGUCUCUAGACUUCUCUGUUCCAUCGACUCUCUCCCCUUGACUUGUUUCCCAAUUUUCCAGACCUCCUCGUGAAAAUAUUAAGUCGAAUUAGCGCUGAAAAACAACGAAGCCCUAACUUUUGAUCCCGCUUCUCAAAUCUCGCGGGAGCUUUUCAUUAUCACGUAUUACACUACUACAUUAAAACGCCGUCGUCAGGUGGGAACUUCCGGUUUCGCUAUGUCGUCGACAUCGGCUGCUGCAGCUUCUUCUUCAUCCUCAGCGGCGUCGUCUCAAUUCACCUACACUACCGGCACGUACUUUCCGACUCCGUUUCACCUACAACAGCCGCAAACCUAUGUGGCUGCUGCCGCUGCCGCUUCAAUUCCGCAAUUUCCUGCUCCUCCUCCUGCGGUUCCCCACGUUUAUCCUGCUCCCGCUACCGUGUACUCCCUCCCUCAGUAUCAACAGGCCCAGCAAUUAUUUCAAAGGGAUGCACAAACAAUAACACCUGAAGCGCUAGAGAGUGUGAAAGCUGCGCUUGCAAGUAGUGAGAUUGAGCACAAGGCCGAGACUAAGAAGAAAGCAGUACCUCGUAAGGCAGCAGGGCAGGCAUGGGAGGAUCCUACACUUGCAGAUUGGCCAGAGAAUGAUUCUCGUUUGUUCUGUGGUGAUCUUGGUAAUGAGGUGAAUGAUGAUGUUCUAUCCAAAGCAUUUUCAAGAUUUCCAUCUUUUAACAUGGCCAGGAUAUUAUUUUGAAGUGCAUGGAGCCCUCGAAUGUCUCGUAUUCAUUAAGGUUGUAAGAGAUAAGCGGACUGGCAAAACCAAAGGUUAUGGAUUUGUAAGUUUUUCAAACCCUUCAGACCUUGCUGCAGCGCUUAAAGAAAUGAAUGGUAAAUAUGUUGGAAAUCGGCCAAUCAAACUCCGCAAGAGCAAGUGGACUGAGAGAACAAACUUUGCAGCUUUAGAAAAGCAGAAGAGCCAUCCUCAAAAGAAACCCAAGUUGGCGAAGAAGUUUGUGAUGCACAAGUGAGCACACGUGGUGGUAGUGGUUACCUGUUCCUCCCUCCUCCCCCUCCCCCUCCCCCUCCCCCUCUUCUCUUCUCCUCUCUGUGAAAGAGGGUGACAAAGGGGAAAAAGGUUAUCUCAAAUUUGAGAUGUGUUUUUAUCAGUCUAUAAUGUCGAUGUCUGCUGAUGAAUUGCCUUUUUUUGUUUGUUUGUGUUCUCUGUCUAGAAUAGCAAAGAUAGGGCUGCUGUCGGUUCUCCUAGCUAUUGUGUGUUCUUGGAUGGGGAGAACAAUAGAAACAUGUUUAGGCUUGCAUCCCUUUUAAGGACUUGAUAACUUUUGUCCGUGACCAAUGACUGACUGCUGGAUUUGCACAUAAAUUUGUAUCUUGAGUAAAAUUUCGUGGUUAUCUUCAGAAAUAGCGGAGAGAUUUGUUUUA